rnacentral:ncRNA from 1 species
CUAUGACAUUUGUCAUGGCGGAAGGAG